rnacentral:snRNA from 1 species
GUGCUUGCUUCGGCAGCACAUAUACUAAAAUUGGAACGAUACAGAAAAGAUUAGCAUGGCCCCUGCACAAGGAUGACAUGCAAAUUCAUGAAGUGUUCCAAAUUUUU